GCGAAAUAAUGACGCACUUCCUGUAAACUAUGUCAUUACAUGCGCAUGCGCUUGCGCAUACUAGAACGCUGACGCACUUCCUGUAAACGAUGUCAUUAAAUGUGCAUGCGCAUACUAAAACGCUCUUUAGAAAUGGAAGCGUUUUAUACUGAAGUCAAGCAUUACCUCAAUCUAAAAACAUACCACAGCUUAACAGCAACCGCCCCAAACCCAGAAAGCAGGAAGGCCAACAUUAGGAGGGUCUCAAAGACCUACCUUCUGAAAGUUAAGUCACAGUCUGUCAAACGCAAAUGCACAUUUGAGCCAGUUUAUCGGAAGUAUUCUGUAUUGGCACUAUUCCUUUGCUUUUUUUUCCAAGUACUGCAGGAAAUGGUGGUGUAUUUUGCUGAUGGAACGCUUCCAGAUCGAUGGCCACGGACGGAGGCUUGCAUACUGGACCAAGGAGGCCCGAGCAUUGCUCGCAGGGUUGCUGGAGCCAGUGUUUAGGGUCCCAAAGGCCAGAAAGACUGAACAUAAGGUGACAUGCUUGAAGAAAUGCAGUUUUGAUCAUACAUGCAUAUAUAUAUUUAUAUAAAUCUGUCU
ensembl:lncRNA